rnacentral:rRNA from 1 species
AGAGUUUGAUCAUGGCUCAGAAUCAACGCUGGCGGCGCGCUUAACACAUGCAAGUCGCACGAGAAAGUGGAGCAAUCCAUGAGUACAGUGGCGUACGGGUGAGUAACACGUGGAUCAUUUACCUCUUGAUGGGGAAUAACCCUGGGAAACCGGAGCUAAUACCGCAUAAGCCUGAAAAGGGAAAGCAGCAAUGCGUCGAGAGAGGAGUCCGCGGCCGAUUAGCUAGUUGGUAGGGUAAUGGCCUACCAAGGCAAUGAUCGGUAGCCGGCCUGAGAGGGCACACGGCCACACUGGCACUGAAACACGGGCCAGACUCCUACGGGAGGCAGCAGUGGGGAAUCUUGCACAAUGGGGGCAACCCUGAUGCAGCGACGCCGCGUGAGCGAUGAAGCCCUUCGGGGUGUAAAGCUCUUUCGGCAGGAACGAUAAUGACGGUACCUGCAGAAGAAGCUGCGGCUAACUACGUGCCAGCAGCCGCGGUAAUACGUAGGCAGCAAGCGUUGUUCGGAGUUACUGGGCGUAAAGAGUGUGUAGGCGGUUCUCUAAGUUCGGUGUGAAAUCUCCCGGCUCAACUGGGAGGGUGCGCCGAAAACUGGAGGGCCUGAGUAUGGGAGAGGAAAGCGGAAUUCCUGGUGUAGCGGUGAAAUGCGUAGAUAUCAGGAGGAACACCUGCGGUGUAGACAGCUUUCUGGACCAUCACUGACGCUGAGACACGAAAGCGUGGGUAGCAAACAGGAUUAGAUACCCUAGUAGUCC